UACGAAGGGGGCUAGCGUUGUUCGGAAUUACUGGGCGUAAAGGGUGCGUAGGUGGCGUGGUAAGUCGGGUGUGAAAUUUCGGAGCUUAACUCCGAAACUGCAUUCGAUACUGCCGUGCUUGAGGACUGGAGAGGAGACUGGAAUUUACGGUGUAGCAGUGAAAUGCGUAGAGAUCGUAAGGAAGACCAGUGGCGAAGGCGGGUCUCUGGACAGUUCCUGACACUGAGGCACGAAGGCCAGGGGAGCAAACGGG
rnacentral:rRNA from 1 species